UGGCAGCGCGCGGGGAUCUGUCAUUUAUUGAAAAUCGAAAAAAGUUUCAUGUUUACCAAAUCUUUGUUUAUCGGUUAUUCUUGAGUACAAGUUGUAGCAGCGAGAAAUCCAAUCAUCCGUGCAAAAGUUCUCUGAAAAGUCAAGAAAUCCUGCUGAAGAAACCAACCUUACAUUACUGAUGGUGCGGGAAGGAAGCUCAUCGACGACUAAAUUAUUAAGAUUGAUUUCAAGUGCCGUAAUAUGUUCGCGCUGCUGAAAUAUGUGAUUCCUAUCAUCAGGAAAAAAGAGCCGAGAGAACUAAACCCUCAACUGUUGCGUUUGAUUAUCAUCGAUGAAAUUUGUCUGUGCCGCAUCCAGAAUUUUAUGUCGCCCGCACAUUGAAACUACAACAGAAUGUAACGACUUUCUGUCACUGCCAACUUAUCACGACAUCGUCACUGCCCGUGCGUGCCCGACGAUUGAUCUGUUUUAUGCCGACAUCAGCUUCCGUCAAAUCGCCCUGAAGCAGCAGUAUAUUAAAAUGACAUCGUUUAAAGGAAGGAUGCAGGUUCGUAUGCAGGAGGGAAUCAAGUAUUGGUGUUCGUCGUGUCCGGCUACUCCCGAAAGGAAACAUGUCGAACUGUCGUGCUACUCGUGACAAAUGUCUGGACCAAACAAUGUUUGUGAAGUUUCAAUCAAUCAACUCUACACGGAAGAAGAGCAUCCCCUACUGGGGUACUUCCGUGCUGAUUUAGCCCGCUUGAAAAAUACUGCUUUGAUUAAGUACGACGGCAAAGGUGCUAACCGAAAAAAUAUACCAAUACUUGCACUUGAUUAACGAUCACGCAACGUUGCCGCUGAAAUAAACCGUUACAAGGAGGAAACAGGCCAGAGAUCACCACCGGUAUGCCACCGACUAAACGGGGGAUUGCGUGCGAUUAACCGAUGGAGAAAAUAAGGAGUCUGAUGGCGCUGCUUAGUGCAGGUUACGUACGUCGUCAGUUUUGGCGAACCGUUCGAUUUCAGCAAACACCUUGUUUUCGCGGUGUAAUAAAGAGAAAACAUUCGGCAGAGAUUUUCGGAGGUGGCAGCCUAAUUCCAACCACGAUUCCAGCUAUCAGAUGCUUGAUUCAGCAGAUUCCAAACAAAACAGCAAAUACCACCUGCGUGCGGAUCGCUUGCGCAAUUUAGUGCCAUUUUCUGGUCUUCGAGGCGUUAUGUACAUAAAUGA